AUGGAACGUGGUACCCACAGUCAGUCUGCUACAGCAGCACCACAUCAUCCAUCAUUGUGGGACUGUACGGGAAAGACAACAUCCUGGUGUUCAGAGUGGAAUAGUGUGUACAUUCGCUGCUGAGUCAGGACAAGGAUGCUGAGGAUGUGGUGGACAAGGAUGACCUGAAUACACUUAAGCUACAGCUCAGCAAAGAAUACAACUGUCUGGUGAAAGGCUCGACCGUAUCAAAGUCCAGUGAUGUCGGGGUACGUGGCCGUUCCAUGUCUGGGGAUUGCAUUUUAGCCAACACUAACAAGGGAGAGAACUGAAGAUCUGCACCUGCAGUUAGUUGUUCCCCUUUAAUUGCUGUUUAAUUAAUUUAACGGACAAUAAAAAGGGAGAAAACUGAAGAUUUGCACCAGCAAAGAGCACCAGCCUUGAUAUAGAGUUGGUACGGCAACGACACAAGUCGGCCCUGCUGGAGCCCCAGUCCAGUACCACCCCUCCCCUGACCCCUAGCUCCUCCCAUUUGACCUCCGGCAUCAAAGAGUCAGCAUUGUUAAACAAUUCCAUCCCAUAGCAAUUUCUGAGCACAUAGUGUUCGCUCAUUUUUCUCAACAACCGCAAUGUCCGUGUUGAGUCUGCACUUGAGCCCUGAUCGGUUUGAUAGACUUUAGUGUCGGAGGUGGUAGAAGUGUUACAGACAUAAGAAGUUAUUGCAGCAGUUAUGGUAACACUAACAGUCCGCUCUCGAUGUUGGACAUUACAAUGAAUAUUACAAAAAAUACAAAUCUGGAUAACUCAUUCCAUUCUUUUUGUGACAAACAGAACUGCAGCAAGGAACAGGAGAAAAUCACGGAAUGUUUGAAGAGUUUAAGUCAGAAGCGUUAGCUUUCCACCCGGGAUACUCCUGGAUGGUCUCAACUUAAGGGACAGUCCAGGUUUGUCCUCUCAGGUGUCCAAACUGUCCAAAGAGAAAGCAUUUAUUUUUGACGCAGUUGCUUACAAAGAAAGGCAGUACCGACUUUGUUGUGAACAGUCAAGCAUGGUACUUCCCUGGGGCAUGCCUCAGGCGGGAAUUCCAUCUGCAACAAGGCGCUAAAGGUGAACCCAUCAGGGUGUGUUACUUACCACUUCAAGACAAAACAGCCUCACAUUGAUUCGACGAUAAAGAAGGCGUUGAAAAAUGACAGCAGUUUUGAUGUGUCAUCCAGUUCGCUCUUCGACUCUCAACCCAACGUUAGUUAGAACGCAAACUCAGCAUUUAGCGUUAUCAGCGAGGCUCGAAGGUCAUCUCUGCUUCUUGAGCUUCAGAUGAAAUUAUAAGACAACAAGACGAACAUCCUUGAAUCAUUUCGCACAUAUACUAAAACUCGCUCAAGAAAUUCAGCACGUCACUUAUGAACAUCUUCUCGCAAGGCCGCUACAUCAACGAUUCCAACAGCUGAGCCUUGGUGAGUUCCACUCCUGUCCCGAUGAGUCGCUCAAGGUGAAACAAUCUGAUCCACAGAUAGAGCAGACACUGAGUGAAUCGUCUGUUAACGUGACUGACCUCCAUAUGUUGCUCUCUAAUAAUGUGAACCUGACGCCUGAGGAGCAGUAUUGUCCUACAUUCCCGGUUCAGGGCAGUGACUUUGGCGUCAAGACUCACACAAUCUCGUGCUAUGGCCCUAUCGCAGCAGCAGAAGCAACAAAAACAGGAAGUAUUUCAGCUGCACUCUGGGAAAACAGGGCUUAAUGCAUGUGUUUAAAGUGUUGUCCCAGAAAAGUGUGUAAAGUCUGCCCAAGCUUAUUUGUGACCACACUUUCCGAAAUAUACCUUAAAACAAAGAAUUCCAUAAAAGCUUAAAGUGUCGUGGCUGAUUAGUUUGUUCAGACUGUACAGGCAAAUCUGGAACAACUCUUUACACUUAUGCAUUUAGCUCAGUUUUUAAAGAGUUUAGUAUUGCACAUUUAAUUCAUGUUACAUCAGCUUUUUUCUGACCUUUUUGGAGAAAAGUUCUGAUUACCAAUCAGGAUUUUUGUCUUUUUAAUUGGUGAAACUGAGUAAAUAAAAACAUAUAAGAGUUGAUUUGAUAUCAGUUUUAAUCAUUAAGGGACAGGGCAUAUUCAUACAUUUUUGUGCCAAAAUUCAGCCUCUAAACCAAAUUUUGUUGUUGUUUUCACUUGUUUAUUAACAAUAUUACCCUUGCAUAAACUAAACAAAAUGCAUAUUAAAUGCUGUUUAAUUUAAAUUAAGCAAUAAUUGAAAUGCAGUCAACAUUCUAAAAAUAAUUAUCUGCAUUUAUUUUCAAUAAGAAUAUCUAUUUAAAUUAAAUAAAAAAAUUUUUACAUAAAUUUAAAUUAACAACCUUUCUAGGUUUUCAAUAUACACAUAUGCCCCUGGAGUGAGAAUAUGUCCUGAAGAUAUUUAUUUAUUAUAUCCUGUGUUAAUUGGGUUAUAUUGGAAUAACCUUGGACGGAUGUCUAUGUGUCUGUCUUUCCAUCUGUCUGUGGGCGUUCACUUAACAAUUCAAUGUUCAGCAUUCACACUUUCAGGUAUUGUUCCUUCUCAUAUGAGGUUGUGAAUGUACAUUGUAUUAUUCUGCACUAAACAUUACAAAACUGAGACAUUCUAUACCAUCAUGCUACAUAUUAUAACUUGUGUCAUUGGGGUAUAAUCUGCAUCACAAUUAUUACAAAUUCUUGUUUGACUAGACAGCAAUGACACUUUUUUAGCUGAGUAUUUUUAUACGGAUUAGAAGAUGUUGUUUUCCAUUUCCCAUUCUCUUAAUGAUUCUAGUACAUGUGUAUGUCAGUUGUCAGUUAAUGGCAUAAGUAUAUGCACUUAGUUAAUCCAGGAAAACGAUAACUUAAUGACCACACUUCUACGACUAAAAUGCAUUUUUAUUUGUGAAGAAGUAUAUAAAAAUUGAUUAAAUUCUUGGAUUUUCUCGUUUUUGCGAUUCCUACAGGACCCCAUGCAGUCACACAUCUGUACACAGCGGACAACAAGAGGCUCUCUGGUCAGCUGGGCCCCUACAGGACCCCAUGCAGUCACACAUCUGUACACAGCGGACAACAAGAGGCUCUCUGGUCAGCUGGGCCCCUACAGGACCCCAUGCAGUCACACAUCUGUACACAGCGAACAACAACAGGCUCUCUGGUCAGCUGGGCCCCUACAGGACCCCAUGCAGUCACACAUCUGUACACAGCGGACAACAACAGGCUCUCUGGUCAGCUGGGCCCCUACAGGACCCCAUGCAGUCACACAUCUGUACACAGCGGAACAACAAUAGGCUCUCUGGUCAGCUGGGCCCCUACAGGACCCCAUGCAGUCACACAUCUGUACACAGCGGAACAAGAACAGGCUCUCUGGUCAGCUGGGCCCCUACAGGAACCCAUGCAAUCACACAUCUGUACACAGCGGAACAACAAUAGGCUCUCUGGUCAGCUGGGCCCCUACAGGACCCCAUGCAGUCACACAUCUGUACACAGCGGACAACAACAGGCUCUCUGGUCAGCUGGGCCUGGACGCCCGGGGACAAAUCCUUGGUAUAGGCGGUGAGCUCUUGGGCCAGGAAUUUGGGUCAAAGCUGAACGAGUCCUACCCCAAGGGUACAUCCAGUCUAACCAUGGGGCUCCAAACUUCCCUUCUCAGGGGCAGAUAUAACCUCAUCUACAAGGGUCCUUAUCAUCACAAGUUUGGCCCAGCAAAUGAUGUCCCCCAACUGCAACACAGCCACUGCAUCUCAACAGGUCCUCAGUCUCUCUUGCAACAACAAAAGCUGAAGUUGAAGUGUGAAAGAGAGAAAGAGUUGACAUGAAAUUGCUGCUUCAGCCUUAAUUGGAACAUCAGCAGCACCAGCAACAACAACACUUAAAAUUCAGCAAUCAACAGUUCGAUUGACGAAGGCUUUCAAAUGAAAAACUGUCAAUUUACAAAGCACCCUUCCCUGAAAAUCUGGCCAAGCUAAUACACAAUGUGAAUGCAUCAACGUGACCCUUCAGAGAAACAGGAUUCCAGGCCGAAUGUCAAACCGUCUGGGCUCCAGCAGCAGCCUCAGCCGUGGGGGUCAGGUUCAUGAUGCACCUAUGCUCUCAAUGCUCUAUGAACAUCAUAAUCUCACAGCAACAGUGGAUAACAUGACCUUCAAGUUGGGGAUGAAUAUAUUUGUCUUUUGACGGAUUUUGGUCAGUGUCUAGCAGUAUUCUAUCAACCAAGCCACGUCCGCAAAGCAGCGAUUUGUCUUCCACGUUUGAGCUACCUUUUUGCCACGGUUGAGGGUCUCCCAAAACCACCCAGUGCCUUGCGAUGAAAACCUCCAACGGGACUGUGACCUUGCCCUUGGACUCACCUAAUGGUCAGGUUCAAGGUCACAUGGGCUUAGAUAGUCACUGCAGUAAAAAAGUGUAUGGUUUUAAAGUAAAGAAGAUGACUUCACAACAUGACAUCCAAGACUGCAGGGACGAAAUGACUCACGCCAGCAGAGGAAGCCAAGACACAAUACGAGAAUUUCCAGCGGCUUACCUGCUUAAAACCUGGGUAGCGGAGCAAUGAGUAUGUCCCAGGAGCAUUUGCAGUCACAGCAAGUGAACCAGCGGCAGUCAUCGUCUCCAGAUUCCGAGAUCCCCAUGCUUCACAACCCUCAGUCUAUGAACAUCAUUUCAGAGCGAACCUUGGACGUCCAUUGACGAAAUCAAACCGGCAAAUCAGAAGGACAGCCUGUUGCUACAGUUGUCAUCAUAUUAACCCCAGUCAUACCGAAGAAGCUCAGAGAUAUAAAUGCUGUUUAAGAUGUGCUAGUUUCUGCAUACUCCAUGUCUGGUGUGAACAUGUACAAAUGAAAGUCUCUACAUACCCCAUGUCUGAUGUGAACAUGUACAAAUGAAAGUCUCUACAUACCCAAUGUCUGAUGUGAACAUGUACAAUUGAAGGUCUCUACAUACCCCAUGUCUGAUGUGAACAUGUACAAUUGAAGGUCUCUGCAUACUCCAUGUCUGGUCUGAACAUGUACAAUUGAAAGUCUCUACAUACCCCAUGUUUGAUGUGAACAUGUACAAUUGAAGGUCUCUACAUACCUCAUGUCUGGUGUGAACAUGUACAAUUGAAGGUCUCUACAUACUCCAUGUCUGGUGUGAACAUGUACAAUUGAAGGUCUCUACAUACCCCAUGUCUGGUGUGAACAUGUACAAUUGAAGGUAUCUACAUACCCCAUGUCUGGUGUGAACAUGUACAAUUGAAGGUCUCAUCUUUGAAUUUGGGACAGGUGGAAAAUUAGUGACUUGAUUCAGACAAAAAUCGCAUAAUGACAAACCCCAACAAAAAGUGGAAAGCCAGAAAGUCUUGUGGCCAGCCAUGUUUUUAUGUGACCAUCCCAGUUGUGUUCAAGGAAAAACAAAAGUUCAUGUUUUAUUGGAACUAUUAUGUUGUCAGUCAUUUUAUGUUGAAGGCUUUUAUUAACUAUAUUUAAAUUUAAUAAGAUUAAGAUUACUUGAUAAAAGCAAUAAUGUAAGAUAUUAUUUUUAAGCGCAAAAUUAGCUUUGUACUUUGUCUGUUUUGUGAAAUUUUAUUUUGGAAAUGUUAAGGAAAAUAUAAUGCUAGUAAAUAUAUGUCUAUGCAUGUUGAAUUUAACAUUUGUCAAACUGUUUUUAUGAUGCUGGUAACUUUGACAAAAUUGAAAAAAAUGUAUUGUUUUCAUGUAAUGACACAUGUUUUUUUUUGCUAAACCUGUACUAUAGAGGUCAUAGUUACAAGAAUUGUUCAGACAGGUGGAGAAUGAUUAUGCUAUGGCUUUGAUACUCUUCAGUGUGCCCAUUGGUGUCAGUGUUUUUAUCAAUAAUGUUGUUUAUUGUCUUACUAUUUCUUGAAAAUAUUGAUUAAUUUCAGACAAAAACAUUUAAUCUUCCUUAAAUUGUCUAUUCUGUAUUUACUACCAGUUAUUUAAUUAUUUGCUUGAACAUGAUUUAAAAAUGACUUUUUUGUGACUUAAAAUGCUUUACAUGUUUUGAAACUGAGUGUUUAAAAACGAAAAUAUGAGAUGUGGGGAUAAUGGCAAAGUUAUGAUCUGAUUAUUUUUUGUUUUUGUAAGGUUUAUUAUGCUUUAUAUGUUUGUGUAUAGACGAGAUUAACUUGGCCAAGAAAUCUUCAUCACUGUAUACAUUGGUCAGUACAUUUGUCAUUUGUAUUUGUAUAUAGAGCGAUAGCGAAAUGGUUGUAUUUACAAUGUAAAUCAUGCGUUUAUUGUUGCCAUUUUGACUUUUGCUGUAAACAUUCAUUUGUACAAACAAUUUUCAUUGUGUACAUCUUUUAGAUGCCAGAUAAUAAAAACAAACAUUGCUUGUGGAGAUGCUCAUUUAAAACUUUCUUAAUGAUACAGAACAACACAUUCUGAAGAGGCAAAUAUGCUUUAGACAAUAGGAACAUCUUGUUACUAGUAUAUGUAAUGCCUUUCACUAAAUAAAGUCAAGCAACUAUUGAAAGAUUGGUUUAACUUUGUUUUGCAUUAUCUUAAGAGAAAUUAAUUUAUUCAACUUGGAAAUCAGUCAAUUGCAAAUCAAGCGAGAGUGAUGUAAUAUGCUAACACUAGUCAAUAAUUGAAUUGUCUCUCUUUGUACGCAAGAUAGAGGGACGUUAUUGCUUGAAAAAUAAAGUUGUCUCCCUUGUUAGAUAAUACUUUUGUUCAUCUCUCAACAUAACAAGUACAUUCAGACAGUUAUUAAAAAUAUGACACACUUUAUACUCGGCCAUCAGUUUUUAUUAGGAUUUUGUGGAAUAUUUACUAAACUAAUAUACGUCUAUUUAAUAAAUUAAUAGUUAUGUGUGGAAUUCUGUCUUAAAUAUGGCAUGACCUAUCUUUUGUUUCAUUAAUUCGGAUCGGAAUAAUUUUAGGAAAUGGUAUGGUUAUGAGGGUCUCUACAUGCAAAAUGUUGCUUUUUGUGUUAAAGAUAUGGCUUGUACAUUGAAUUUGUUAUGGAAAUAUCAUAGUUUAUGUGACUUAAAGAGAUAUACAUGUUUAUGUUAGUGAUGUGUUUUUGCUGAUCCAAGUCUGUUCCUGCACACUAUUUAAAGUAGAUAACUACAAGUGAUCUCAUUUAAAUGGAAAUAGUAUUGUACUGUGGAAAAGUGUUGUGAGUUCAAAUAAAAAUAUUAUGAAC